rnacentral:lncRNA from 1 species
UUCCAAUAUUCUUCUACUCAUUCCCACACAUUUCAUUCAUUCAUGCAACUAUAACCCUCUCUCCCUCACUUAAACUUCCUCAACCAGUUUCUAGGAUUUCACCAUGCAGUACUGUUUCAUACAAGAAAUGGCCACAAUGUUCUUCUCUAUCAUGGCACCUCAAGAUGAUGGUUACAAUAUUCAAGAACAAAGGGAAGUGUGGUGA